rnacentral:rRNA from 1 species
CAAUAGCGUAUAUUUAAGUUGUUGCAGUUAAAAAGCUCGUAGUUGGAUUUCGGGUGGGACGCAGCGGUCUCGCAUUGCGUUUGUACUGCUGCAGCCCUCCUUCUUGCCGGGGGCGGCCUCUCGGACUUCACUGUCUGGGGGUCAGAAUCGUCGAUGUUACUUUGAGUAAAUUAGAGUGUUCAAAGCAAGCUUACGCUCUGAAUAUAAUAGCAUGGGAUAACACGACAGGACUCUGGCCUAUCGUGUUGGUCUAUAGGACCAGAGUAAUGAUUAAGAGGGACAGUCGGGGGCAUUCGUAUUCCGUUGUCAGAGGUGAAAUUCUUGGAUUUACGGAAGACGAACAUCUGCGAAAGCAUUUGCCAAGGAUGUUUUCAUUGA